rnacentral:rRNA from 1 species
AUGAACGCUGGCGGCGUGGAUAAGGCAUGCAAGUCGAGUGGGUUUAGACCCACGGCGAACGAGGUAGUAACACGUAGGAACGUACCCAAAAGUCGGGCAUAACCAGUCGAAAGAUUGGAUAAUUCCCGAUAUCUCUUCGGAGGAAAGAUUUAUCGCUUUUGGAUCGGCCUGCGGAAUAUCAGCUAGUUGGUAGUGUAAUGGACUACCAAGGCUAUGACGUUUAGGGGAGGUGAGAGCCUGACCCCCACCGAUGGUACUGCGACACGGACCAUACACCUACGGGUGGCUGCAGUCGAGAAUCUUCCACAAUGGACGAAAGUCUGAUGGAGCGACGCCGCGUGAUUGAUGAAGUCCUUCGGGAUGUAAAGAUCUUUUAUGAGGGAGAAAGUUAUUGAUAGUACCUCAUGAAUAAGGGGUUGCUAAACUCGU